AUAACGACUCUCGGCAACGGAUAUCUAGGCUCUCGCAUCGAUGAAGAACGUAGCAAAAUGCGAUACUUGGUGUGAAUUGCAGAAUCCCGUGAACCAUCGAGUUUUUGAACGCAAGUUGCGCCCGAAGCCAAUAGGUUGAGGGCACGUCUGCCUGGGCGUCUCGC
rnacentral:rRNA from 1 species